rnacentral:rRNA from 1 species
UGGCGACCGGCGCACGGGUGAGUAACACGUAUGCAACCUGCCCUCUUCAGGGGGACAACCUUCCGAAAGGGAGGCUAAUCCCGCGUAUAUCGGUUUCGGGCAUCCGAGAUCGAGGAAAGAUUCAUCGGAAGAGGAUGGGCAUGCGGCGCAUUAGCUAGACGGCGGGGUAACGGCCCACCGAGGCGACGAUGCGUAGGGGUUCUGAGAGGAAGGUCCCCCACACUGGUACUGAGACACGGUCCAAACUCCUACGGGAGGCAGCAG